rnacentral:rRNA from 1 species
UUGCCCUAGUAACGGCGAGUGAAGCGGCAACAGCUCAAAUUUGAAAUCUGGCCCUCGGGUCCGAGUUGUAAUUUGUAGAGGAUGCUUUUGGCGCGGUGCCUUCCGAGUUCCCUGGAACGGGACGCCUUAGAGGGUGAGAGCCCCGUACGGUUGGACACCAAGCCUCUGUAAAGCUCCUUCGACGAGUCGAGUAGCUUGGGAAUGCUGCUCUAAAUGGGAGGUAAAUUUCUUCUAAAGCUAAAUAUUGGCCAGAGACCGAUAGCGCACAUGNAGAGNGAUCGAAAGANGAAAAGCACUUUGAAAAGAGGGUUAAACAGCACGUGAAAUUGUUGAAAGGGAAGCGUUUGCGACCAGACCUUUUCCUAGCGGAUCAUCCGGUGUUCUCACCGGUGCACUUCGCUAGGUUUAGGCCAGCAUCGGUUUCUGUAGGGGGAUAAAAGCUCUGGGAACGUAGCUCCUCCGGGANUUUUUAUAGCCCUCNGGGAAAUACCCUUNUCUUUUUCCGAGGACGGGAAUUCGNCUUUNCAGGCANAAG